rnacentral:rRNA from 1 species
CGUGUAGGCGGCCAAGCAGGUCCGUUGUGAAAACUGGAGGCUUAACCUCCAGACGUCGACGGAAACCGCGCGGCUAGAGUCCGGAAGAGGAGAGUGGAAUUCCUGGUGUAGCGGUGAAAUGCGCAGAUAUCAGGAAGAACACCAAUGGCGAAGGCAGCUCUCUGGGACGGUACUGACGCUGAGACGCGAAAGCGCGGGAGCGAACA